rnacentral:rRNA from 1 species
GACGAGCGCUGGCGGCGUGCUUAACACAUGCAAGUCGAACGGAAAGGCCCUGCUUUUGUGGGGUGCUCGAGUGGCGAACGGGUGAGUAACACGUGAGUAACCUGCCCUUGACUUUGGGAUAACUUCAGGAAACUGGGGCUAAUACCGGAUAGGAGCUCCUGCUGCAUGGUGGGGGUUGGAAAGUUUCGGCGGUUGGGGAUGGACUCGCGGCUUAUCAGCUUGUUGGUGGGGUAGUGGCUUACCAAGGCUUUGACGGGUAGCCGGCCUGAGAGGGUGACCGGCCACAUUGGGACUGAGAUACGGCACAGACUCCUACGGGAGGCAGCAGUGGGGAAUAUUGCACAAUGGGCGGAAGCCUGAUGCAGCAACGCCGCGUGCGGGAUGACGGCCUUCGGGUUGUAAACCGCUUUCGCCUGUGACGAAGCGUGAGUGACGGUAAUGGGUAAAGAAGCACCGGCUAACUACGUG